UGGGGAAUUUUGGACAAUGGGCGAAAGCCUGAUCCAGCAAUGCCGCGUGUGUGAAGAAGGCCUUCGGGUUGUAAAGCACUUUUGUCCGGAAAGAAAUCCUUGGCUCUAAUACAGUCGGGGGAUGACGGUACCGGAAGAAUAAGCACCGGCUAACUACGUGCCAGCAGCCGCGGUAAUACGUAGGGUGCAAGCGUUAAUCGGAAUUACUGGGCGUAAAGCGUGCGCAGGCGGUUUGCUAAGACCGAUGUGAAAUCCCCGGGCUCAACCUGGGAACUGCAUUGGUGACUGGCAGGCUAGAGUAUGGCAGAGGGGGGUAGAAUUCCACGUGUAGCAGUGAAAUGCGUAGAGAUGUGGAGGAAUACCGAUGGCGAAGGCAGCCCCCUGGGCCAAUACUGACGCUCAUGCACGAAAGCGUGGGGAGCAAACAGGAUUAGAUACCCUGGUAGUCCACGCCCUAAACGAUGUCAACUAGUUGUGGGGAUUCAUUCCUUAGUAACGUAGCUAACGCGUGAAGUUGACCGCCUGGGGAGUACGUCGCAAGAUUAAAACUCAAAUGAAUUGACGGGGUCAUAGCUG
rnacentral:rRNA from 1 species